GAUGAACGCUGGCGGCGUGCCUAAUACAUGCAAGUCGAGCGAACGGACGAGAAGCUUGCUUUUCUGAUGUUAGCGGCGGACGGGUGAGUAACACGUGGAUAACCUACCUAUAAGACUGGGAUAACUUCGGGAAACCGGAGCUAAUACCGGAUAAUAUUUUGAACCGCAUGGUUCAAAAGUGAAAGACGGACUUGCUGUCACUUAUAGAUGGAUCCGCGCUGCAUUAGCUAGUUGGUAAGGUAACGGCUUACCAAGGCAACGAUGCAUAGCCGACCUGAGAGGGUGAUCGGACACACUGGAACUGAGACACGGUCCAGACUCCUACGGGAGGACGCAGUAGGGAAUCUUACGCAAUGGGCGAAAGCCUGACGGAGCAAAGCCGCGUGAGUGAUGAAGGUCUUCGGAUCGUAAAACUCUGUUAUUAGGGAAGAACAUAUGUGUAAGUAACUGUGAACAUCUUGACGGUACCUAAUCAGAAAGCCACGGCUAACUACGUG
rnacentral:rRNA from 1 species